UGCAGCAGCCAUAUCGCCCCGCAACUCACAGCUGGCAGCCCCCUGGAGCUCAGCAGGUGUGAGCCUGGCCAGUACCUGAAUGGGAGACUCCUGGGAAAGCUAAGGUUGCUGCUGGAA
rnacentral:rRNA from 1 species